rnacentral:rRNA from 1 species
UACGUAGGCAGCAAGCGUUGUUCGGAAUUACUGGGCGUAAAGAGUGUGUAGGCGGUGCUCUAAGUCUGUUGUGGAAUCUCCCGGCUUAACUGGGAGGGUGCGGCGGAGACUGGAGUGCUAGAGUGUGGGAGAGGUAAGCGGAAUUCCAGGUGUAGCGGUGAAAUGCGUAGAUAUCUGGAGGAACACCGGUGGCGAAGGCGGCAUCCUGGACCAAUAUUGACGCUGAGGAGCGAAAGCCAGGGGAGCAAACGGG